CCGGCUUCUCUCCUCCCCAACAGAAUUUCAACUAGCAACAAUCCUGUGGCAAGUUUACCACCCUGAAUAUCCCAGAACUUGGAGUGAAGCUUUGCAUCCCCUGGGAUGGCAGAGCCAAGAAAAACCAUGAGGACGGAAGCACUGUGAGUACCGGCAGGGUCAGCCCAACAAGGGUCAGUAAGAACUUCCCUUUUCAAAAGAUAAAGCGGUUCACAUAGACAGCUGUGGUGGACUCUUUCUGCUGCCUGUCCAACAGACUUCUGCACAUUUCCUAAGGACAGAACCGCAUUUUUGUACUAGAGCAGAGAUUCCGUGACAUCAGGAGAAGAGGCCCUUCCCCCAAUCCCAGGAGCCAAUAAACUCAUUCUUCUUUGCAAUUGUACAAUGACAUGCACAGGGAAGUCUUCCUUUCCAGGGUAUAAAGCACCAUUAGGAGAAAGUUUUUGGUUUGCCUUGGCCCUUAUUUUUUGUUUUGGGGAUUUUGCGUGUGACAACAUCACUCCUGAGCUGUGGCAGCCAUCUUACCAUCAUGAGGAAACCGCCACGGGGAUAAAAAGCCAGUCCUCUGAGGACCUGGAAGAAAGGACAGAACCUGGCUCCCAAGGCAUCACUGAGACCCAAAUCAACAGUAAGUAAGCACAGCACCUACUCCUGGGCUUCUUUUUAUGAGAGAAAAAAAAAGUUCCCAUUUGUGUAAAUCAUAGUGUUUGGUGUUCCUUUUCUUUUUUAGUUUUAAUUGUAUUUAUUUCCUCUCUUUCGGAUGGUUGAUUUAUUCACAUGGGUCAAAAUUCAAAAAGUAUCAAAG
rnacentral:lncRNA from 10 species